CUCUAAUUCAGCUGUACAGGUGUAUCUGUGUCCUCCAGCUCCCUUAUGCACACAUUCAGGGGCAGCCAACAUCUGACCUCUAAAUGAGGAGAUGAUAGAGGCAGAGUGCUCUCCUGUCGACUCCUGUUCUGCAGCUCCCCGAGAAGCGUAAGUUUCUGUUCAGGAGA